CGACGGGCUGGAAAGAGGACAUGUGUGCGUGUGACUCAGCGCAACUGCAACUACGUGCGUGCUGGCGUGAAGGUGUGCGGAAACAUUCGAAAGUGGAAAUGAAAAAAAUUCAUGUCAACUUAAUACCGAUAACACGUUCGAUGAAACAACAAAAUUAUCAAGGACGGGCUCGUGUAACGCAUCUGCUCAUUAAGAAAUUCCUUGAAAAGUUCUCAAGCACUCAUGCGCGGGAAGUAUAGUAGUAGCGGACGUUAAGGCACAGACGCUUGGCUCGAGAUGGGUGCCAGCCUCACCCUGCGACUGUCUUUAAGAGUUUCAAGGUUGCGGAACGGCUGAUGGGCAAAUGGGUAAAAGGAGAUCGCAAGGGGGACAUCGAAGAGGAGGACGGCAGACGGGACGAAGUUCUGAGUGCGUGUAAGUGUGUCUGCACUGGUUGAGAAGGUUGUAGCGCGGGGUGGUUUGAGGGCCGAAGGACGGAGGCAGGAGGACGAGAAGCAGUAGGUGGAUGAGGAGGAGGAGGAGGAGGAGGAGGAGGAGAAGGAGGAGGAGGAAGAGUACGGCGGUAGGUAGCAGUGGGUGGCAAGCCGAGGGUGGUAAAGGAGUCAGAGGAUGAGAAGUAGGAAGAGAUGGAGGAGGGAUCGGGAGUAGGAGGAGAAGGAGGAGGGCGGUUGGUUGAGACGCGGAGGUGCAGGCGAAGGAGAGAGAGUCCGUUGGGUUGGGUUGGUUUGCACCAGCACCACCAGCACCGACAUGGCUCCAAGCGAAGGAGAGGAUGGGGUAGGAUGGCCGGGCCUCUGCUCGCUCGAUAGAGGCGCGUCCCGUCGUCCCAUGAUUGGAAACCAAAUCGCCGCACAUCCAUCCCCCUCCUCCUCCUCCUGCCUCCGACCCAUCCUCUGCCUCAGCGAUUCUCUUCCACCCCCGAGGACCCCCUGGCCACCGACUAUCCACCCUUACUCUCAGUCCUCGCAACCCUAUCCAGAGCUUACUCCCUGCAACUAUCUCUCUCUUUCUGUCUCUCUCUUUAUUUCCUAUCUUUCUCUUUCCCUUUACAUCCUCCCUUCCCUAUCUCCCUCUUUUCUAUAUAUCUGCUACACGCGCUCUUGCUCUCUCUUUAUCACUCCCUUUCUCCAUCUUCCUCUUGCGCCCUGCACAAACUAACUUCACCUUCCUCUCCGGCUACCUUCGCAUCCACGUCCACCUCCACCACGUCCUAGCUCACCCUCCAGGGACGCUAAUGUCGAGCUAAGUCCUUAAAACCCCUCAGCCGGAGGCCGGCGAGCCCGCAGACCGGAAUGGCCUCCAUAAGUAACCGGGUUUACACACCCCAAGACCCUAUUUCUCACCGUGGAAAAACUGCAGUCAGCUCCGUUGCGAACGCCCCCCCGGUUCGCUACUCGAACCACCCUAUAGCUCCGGUCUCGCCGAUGCCGGAUUGCAGAUUCCGCCGGCGGGCCACGGUAUCGACAGCCGCACCGAGACCGAACGACGCUCUCAAAGAAGAUUAGGAAGAUGAGCGCGGUGAAAAACGAUGGAAAUCUUUUCCGACGACUGCUUCGGCCGGUCCGGCCGUAGUCAGUUUUCGUUGGGCCACGGUUCAAACCGAACAGCGCAAUGCGAUCUUCGCGCGCCAUUUGAUUUCACAUCGAUCUCGAUCGAUAGACUCUCACCGAUCUCGCGUAGAUUUGGAAGGAUACUAGACAUCGAAAAUUUGAAUUCCGUCGUAUUUUUCAUAGUUCUGUAGAAAAAUCGUUUUUACGUAAUUUGAUGAUUUAAUACCUUUAGCGAUUUAAUCUGAUGUAUAA